AACGAACGCUGGCGGCAUGCCUAACACAUGCAAGUCGAACGAGACCUUCGGGUCUAGUGGCGCACGGGUGCGUAACGCGUGGGAACCUGCCCUUAGGUUCGGAAUAACUCCCCGAAAGGGGUGCUAAUACCGGAUAAUGUCUUCGGACCAAAGAUUUAUCGCCUUUGGAUGGGCCCGCGUUGGAUUAGCUAGUUGGUAGGGUAAAAGCCUACCAAGGCGACGAUCCAUAGCUGGUCUGAGAGGAUGAUCAGCCACACUGGGACUGAGACACGGCCCAGACUCCUACGGGAGGCAGCAGUGGGGAAUAUUGGACAAUGGGCGAAAGCCUGAUGCAGCAAUGCCGCGUGAGUGAUGAAGGUCUUAGGGUUGUAAAGCUCUUUUACCCGGGAUGAUAAUGACAGUACCGGGAGAAUAAGCCCCGGCUAACUCCGUG
rnacentral:rRNA from 1 species